rnacentral:rRNA from 1 species
CCGAGGCAAUCCCCGAGCUAAUACAUGCGAAAAAUCUCGACCCACGGAGAGAUGCUUUUAUUAGAUCAAAACCAAACGGCUUCGGCCGUCUCAUUGGUGACUCUGAAUAACUUUGGGCUGAUCGUAUGGCCUUGUGCCGACGACGUUUCCUUCGAAGGUGUGCCCUAUCAACUGUCGACUGUGAUAUAGACGCUCACAGUGGUUUUGACGGGUAACGGGGAAUCAGGGUUCGAUUCCGGAGAGGGAGCCUUAAAAACGGCUACCACAUCCAAGGAAGGCAGCAGGCACGCAAAUUACCCAAUGACCGAAGGUCGAGGUAGUGACGAAAAAUAACGAUACAGGACUCAUCCGAGGCCCUGUAAUUGGAAUGAGUACACUUUAAAACCGUUCCCGAGGAUCUAUUGGAGGG